GAAGGGAGAUCUUAGUGGUAGAGGGCAUGCUUAGUAUGCACAAGGUCCUGGGUUCAAUCCCCAGUACCUCCA
rnacentral:tRNA from 1 species